AUCCUCUGAUUCCCUUUCCCAUUGGACCUGAACAGAUCUUGGUGGUCGUAAAAGGAGGAAAUAGUAAAACUGGCCACACAGUGCUUGUAGUCUGUGGGCUAGUUUCAAACAAAG